rnacentral:rRNA from 1 species
UACGUAGGGUGCGAGCGUUAAUCGGAAUUACUGGGCGUAAAGGGUGCGUAGGCGGGUCGAUAAGUCAGGGGUGAAAUCCCGGGGCUCAACUCCGGGCCUGCCUUUGAAACUGUCGACCUAGAGUGCAGGAGAGGAAGGCGGAAUUCCAGGUGUAGCGGUGGAAUGCGUAGAUAUCUGGAAGAACACCAGUGGCGAAGGCGGCCUUCUGGACUGACACUGACGCUGAGGCGCGAAAGCUGGGGGAGCAAACAGG